AACGUAGGGUGCGAGCGUUGUCCGGAAUUACUGGGUGUAAAGGGAGCGCAGGCGGUCGGACAAGUUGGGUGUUAAAACUAUGGGCUCAACCCAUAAGCGCACUCAAAACUGCCCGACUUGAGUGGAGUAGAGGCAGGCGGAAUUUCCGGUGUAGCGGUGGAAUGCGUAGAUAUCGGAAGGAACACCAGUGGCGAAGGCGGCCUGCUGGGCUCUAACUGACGCUGAGGCUCGAAAGCAUGGGUAGC
rnacentral:rRNA from 1 species